CCUACGGGUGGCAGCAGUGAGGAAUAUUGGGCAAUGGGCGCAAGCCUGACCCAGCAACGCCGCGUGGAGGAAGACGGCCUUCGGGUUGUAAACUCCUUUUACGGGGGAAACGGUACCCCGAGAAUAAGUCACGGCUAACUACGUGCCAGCAGCCGCGGUAAUACGUAGGUGACAAGCGUUAUCCGGAAUUACUGGGCGUAAAGCGCACGCAGGCGGCGCAGUAAGUCUGAUGUGAAAUCUCCCGGCUUAACUGGGAGGGGUCAUUGGAAACUGCAGUGCUUGAGGCGGUGAGAGGGGUGUAGAAUUCCCGGUGUAGUGGUGGAAUGCGUAGAUAUCGGGAGGAAUACCAGUGGCGAAAGCGGCACCCUGGCACUACCUGACGCUCAUGUGCGAAGGCGUGGGGAGCGAACGGGAUUAGAUACCCUGGUAGUC
rnacentral:rRNA from 1 species